CCUGGCCGCCCAUCGUCUGGGAUGUGAGGAGCCCCUCUGCCUGGCUGCCCAGUCUGGAAAGUGAGGAGCAUCUCCGCCCGGCCGCCAUCCCAUCUAGGAAGUGAGGAGCGCCUCUUCCCAGCCGCCGUCACAUCUAGGAAGUGAGGAGCGUCUCUGCCCCGCCGCCCAUUGUCUGAGAUGUGGGGAGCGCCUCUGCCCCGCCGCCCCAUCUGGGAUGUGAGGAGCGCCUCUGCCCGGCCGAGACCCCGUCUGGGAGGUGACGAGCGUCUCUGCCCGGCCGCCCCGUCUGAGAAGUGAGGAGACCCUCUGCCUGGCAACCACCCCGUCUGAGAAGUGAGGAGCCCCUCCGCCCGGCAGCUGCCCCGUCUGAGAAGUGAGGAGCCUCUCCGCCCGGCAGCCACCCCAUCUGGGAAGUGAGGAGCGUCUCCGCCCAGCAGCCACCCCGUCCGGGAGGGAGGUGGGGGGGGGUCAGCCCCCCGCCCGGCCAGCCGCCCCGUCUGGGAGGCGGGGAUAUAAGCCCCGAAAGGAAAGCCCUGAGCAGAGGAGGCCUCAGCUUGACCUGUCCCAGUGCGCCCUUGAAACUUUCCUCGCCUUCCACCUCCUGCUCAUCUGCUUCACAAGCUGUCGCUGUGGUGUCGGUUCGCAGGUCGUGGCCUCUCAUGGCCACGGUGCUUUUGGCCCUGCUCGUCUACCUGGGGGCGCUGGUCGACGCCUACCCCAUCAAACCCGAGGCUCCCGGCGAAGACGCCUUCCUGGGGUAGCUGAGCCGCUGCUACGCCUAUCCUCGCCACUACCUCAUCCUGGUCACUCAGCCGUCGUAUGGGAAACUAGGCCGCCCGGUCGCGCGCCUCUCCAAAACGUUCUUCCCAGACUGCGAGGACCGCCUCGGCAGGUGGCGGUAAAAGCGCCCCCAUCAAGUCACAUAACAUCCUGCCUCCGAGAGCGCGGUCUGGCCCCACCCUGGUCCAUCACUUACGACGUCUCCCAGGCUUGCCUCCCCGGAUCGGAUUCCUUUCCCUUCGAUCCCGCAGGCCGGAGGCGCAGACCUGUGGUGAGGACACCCGAGGCCUCCUGGGAGACCUGCAGACCACGCCCACCUCAUUUACAUGUUCACUCCCGACCCUGGAAACCCGGAUUUCGCCUCCGGACAGCGGCGUCUGGGCAGGGUUCGGGUACUGCAGUCCCGCGUCUGGAUGCCCCCGCCCCCUGAGCUGCAGGGCUGUGUGUGGUCCUUCCCUGGUCCCAAAAUAAAGAGCGAAUUGCACAGAAACGGA
rnacentral:lncRNA from 1 species